CCUAUUUUUGGCACACGGAGGCCCCUCGCAAAGUCUCGCACCAUUCCGAGUCCGGCGGACGAAGUGGGCCAGCCCCACCCCCCAAGGCUAUAGCCCACCCAUUUUUGUGGCCUUUUUCCGCUGGACGAACUUGGCGCCCCGGCCUUCGGGCGGUUAUUUUUGGGCGCGGCAUUGACCGCAGCCUAUUUUUAGCACAUGGAGACCCCUCGCAAAGUCUCGCGGCAUUCCGAGUUCGGCGGACGAAGUCGGCCAGCCCCACCCCCCAAGGUUAUAGCCCACCCGUUUUUGUGGCCUUUUUCCGCUGGACGAACAUGGCGCCCCGGCCUUCGGGCGGUUAUUUUUGGGUGCGGCUUUGCCCACGGCCUAUUUUUGGCACACGGAGGCCCCUCGCAAAGUCUCGCGCCAUUUCGAGUCCGUCGGACAAAGUCCGCCAGCCCCAUCCCCCAAGGCUAUAGCCCACCCGUUUUUGUGGCCUUUUUCCGCUGGACGAACUUGGCGCCCCGGCCUUCGGGUGGUUAUUAUUGGUCAUGGCUGUGCCCGCGGCCUAUUUUUGGCAAUCAGAGGCGCCUCGCAAAGUCUCGCGCCAUUCCGAGUCCGCCGGAGGAAGUUGGCCAGCCCCACCCCCCAAGGCUAUAGCCCACCCGUUUUUGUGGCCUUUUUCCGCUGGACGAACUUGGCGCCCCGGCCUUCGGGCGGUUAUUUUUGAGUGCAGCUGUGCCCGCGGCCUAUUUU
rnacentral:lncRNA from 1 species